CCCGCUGAACUUAAGCAUAUUACUAAGCGGAGGAAAAAAAACUAACAAGGAUUGUCUUAGUAACUGCGAGUGAACCGGCAAAAGCCCAGUCUGGAAAUCGCUUCGGCGAAUUGUACAGUUUAGACAUAAAUCUUAAGCAGAGUGUAGGCGUAACUUGGCUGGAAUGCCAGACCGGAGAAGGUGAUAGUCCUGUGCCGCCUGUGCAAAGCGAAAGAUUGUGUUCCACGAGUCGGACAGUUUGGGAUUGCUGUCCUAAGUGGGAGGUAGACUUCUUCUAAGGCUAAAUACUGACGAGAGACCGAUAGCGAACAAGUACUGUGAAGGAAAGAUGAAAAGAACUUUGAAAAAAGGGUUAAAAUACUUGAAAUCGCUGUGGAGGAAGCUAUGAGCUUGGCUUUGCUGUAAGUGGAACUGCUGGUACGCUGGCAGGGGAGCUUGCAGGAAAACUCAGUAAGUGUCCUGAAUGUGAGCUUCGAAGCUGUUAGCUAGGUCAGCCACAUUCUGAGGCAUUUCCUGAGUAGCUGAGCCCAUUGACCCGUCUUGAAACACGG
rnacentral:rRNA from 1 species